rnacentral:misc_RNA from 1 species
GAUGAAGAAUGCAGUGAAAUGCGAUACUUGGUGUGAAUUGCAGAAUCCCGUGAACCAUCGAGUCUUUGAACGCAAGUUGCGCCUCAAGCCAUUAGGUUGAGGGCACGUCUGCCUGGGCGUCACAUAUCAUUGCCUGAUGCCAGUUUCCUCGUGAUGGGUGACUGUGCAGGGCGAAUGAUGGCUUCCCGUGAGCAUUGUUGCCUCAUGGUUGGUUGAAAAUUGAGUCCUUGGUAGGGAGCGCCGUGAUAGAUGGUGGUUGAGUGACGAACGAGACCCAAUCAUGUGAGACCCCUACCGAAUUUGGCCUUCAUGACCCACAUGCGUCUUUGGAACGCUCAUGACGAGACCUCAGGUCAGGCGGGGCUACCCGCUGAGUUUAAGCAUAUCAAUAAGCGGAGGA